AAUGAAAAUUUUAAUGGCCGCAGUAUUUUGACUGUGCAAAGGUAGCAUAAUCAUUAGUUUCUUAAUUAGAAACUGGAAUGAAAGGUUGGACGAAAAAAUAACUGUCUCUUUAUAAAUUUUUAGAAUUUUAUUUUUAAGUUAAAAAGCUUAAAUUAAUUUAAAAGACGAGAAGACCCUAUAGAGUUUUAUUAAAUUUGUUAUAUUAUUUUUUGUAGAAAUUUUAUAUUUUUAUAAUAAAUUUAAUUUGAUUGGGGUGAUUAAAAAAUUUAAUAAACUUUUUUUAAAAAAAAACAUUUAUUUAUGAAUAAAUGAUCCAUAAAUAAUUAUGAUUAUAAGAUUAAAUUACCUUAGGGAUAACAGCGUAAUUUCUUUUUAGAGUUCAAAUCGAUAAAGAAGUUUGCGACCUCGAUGUUGGAUUAAAAAAAAUUAUUGGUGUAGAAGCUAAUAAAUUAGGUCUGUUCGACCUUUAAAAUUUUACAUGAUCUGAGUUUAAACCGGUGUAAGCCAGGUUGGUUUCUAUCUUUAAAAAUAUUUAAUAUUUUAGUACGAAAGGACCAAAUAUUAUAAAAAUUUUAUUUAUAUUGAAUAUUAAUAAU
rnacentral:rRNA from 1 species